rnacentral:rRNA from 1 species
AUGGUCGAUCUCGUACUCAUGGACACCAUGCUCCCCGGCUUUUGGGAUGAUGACCAGGAGCUUCAUCGCCGACAUGUACAUCGCCUACAACCUCCAGUUCGAGCUGAAGCCCUCCACAACCUCGCCAUCCAGUCGUCUUCCCCACCACGGCCACGGCGCCAUCACCGUCGAUCUCCACCACCGAUGCCUCCCCGCGGUUCCAAGCACGUCCACGACCUCCCUCGCAGUGAGCCGCGUCCAUUCCUCCUCCUUGCUGCCUGGAUUUGUUGCCGUAGCCGCUGUUCCCGAGCACACCCGAGCUCUCCUGUACGUCUUCAUCCACACAAAACUCAACAAGAACUCGUGAGAUAA